rnacentral:rRNA from 1 species
UACGUAGGGGGCAAGCGUUGUCCGGAAUUACUGGGCGUAAAGCGUGCGCAGGCGGUUAUGUAAGACAGGUGUGAAAUCCCCGGGCUUAACCUGGGAACUGCAUUUGUGACUGCAUAGCUAGAGUACGGUAGAGGGGGAUGGAAUUCCGCGUGUAGCAGUGAAAUGCGUAGAUAUGCGGAGGAACACCGAUGGCGAAGGCAAUCCCCUGGACCUGUACUGACGCUCAUGCACGAAAGCGUGGGGAGCAAACAGG